rnacentral:lncRNA from 12 species
CUAGCCUGUGUGCACUCAAGUGCACCCUCGUGCGUUUGACUUGGGACACUUGUCAGCAUGAGUGAACUGGCCUUCUGGUUCCAAGCCAUGGCUCCAUAAACAGAUCCUUCUUAAUUAGCCUUGGCAGCCCAACACCUCUGGUGUAUCUAGCUCAUUCCACCGCCACGCCUACUCUUGUUGGAUCCAGUUCUAAAGUAAACUAUGUUCUUUGAGAGCUGUCGCAUACAGAUGAGUUGGCAGCCAGUCUGAGCUGACCCUCAGACUCGUAAAAACCUACAGGGCCUCAGCACCCUCACCCGGGAUAUCCUAACUCUUGGACGAGAGGUGCAAGACGGCUCCAAGCAGCCAUCAAGGACGCGGCUACUUUCUUGGGGACCAAGAAAUUGAGUUUUUGUCUCUGCACUUAACUCUGGCAAUCCAUGAGGCUUGGUCCGUUGCGUUGGGGAAGUGGCUGUGUACAAACGCCGGGCAGCCGUGGAGCUGAAACCCGGGGCUGACCCAGGGCUACGCGUUUCACGGCCGGAGACUCUGGGGCGCCUGCACGCACUCUCCAGGUAGACCCGACUCGUUUCUUUUUCACAGGAAUUAGUGCUUGUAAGAGGGCAGGGGCCAUCCUUCAGUUUCUUCCUCCCAAAGCAUCGUCUAGUUGUGAUACUUGGUAAGAUCAGCUUUGGUCCUGAUACUGUGUCAUCAAACAGGCCCUUAUGAUCUAUAUUAGUCCAGGUGAGGAUUUUUUUUUUUUUAAGGCCGGCAGCUGAAAUAGAGACAGGGUGGCCUGAUACAUUCUUUCUUGCUUUUUAAAAAAGAUUUUAUUUAUUCAUCUGAGAGGGGGAGAGAGAGAGCACAAGUGAGAGGAUAAGAGCGGGGGAGGGAGAAGCAGACCCCCUGAUGAGCAGGGAGCACCAUGUGGGGCUCGAUCCCAGGACCCCAGGAUCAUGACCUGAGCUGAAGGCAGGUGCUUAACUGACUGAGUCCCCCAGGCGCCCCCUUUCUUGAUCUUGAUG